rnacentral:rRNA from 1 species
AUUAUUUUAAGAUUAUUUUUUAUUGUUGAAAAAAUUAAAAAUAAAUUGUUUUUAACAAAAAUUAAAAUUUAUAAUAAUUCAUUUUUUGGUUUUUUGUUUUAAAUUAAAAUAAUAAAUAUGGGGGAAAAAAAAAUUUUGUUAUAAAUUAUAUUAGUUUAUUUUAACUAAAAAUAUUUUUUAUUAAAUUUGUUUUUUUUAUUUUUUUAUAAAAAAUAUUAAUUUAAUUAUUAUUAUUGAGUUUAAUUUAGUUAUUUUUAAAAAAAUUUUGUAUAAAAUAAAUUUGAUAAUAAAUGUUUUUUAAAUUCUUUGGGGGUUUAGUUUAUGAUUUUUUGUUUCUGCUCAUUGUUAAAUAAAAGCACUUUUAGCGUGAUUGGUCAAAGGUA